GGAGAGUGAAGGUAUGUCUUACCCUAGGCCUCAGUGCAGUAGAAUCAUAGGUUUUAGCCGGAACAAGCUAUCAUUCAGGUUCUUCUCCCCCUUUUCCUCUUGUUUUGUAGGUAAUUUCAGAGGACAGGCUCUGUGAGCUGAUUGGUAGAUAUGGUGGUUAAAUGGCAUGUUUGGGUGAAUGAAAUCCUUGCCAUGCUUUACCAAGUGGACAGUCCUUGCUGUACAGCCUUGCUUUCGUUGUCUGUUCGACCUUGAAGUUUUCUGAUAUGGUAAACCUGCUUAAAGAUGAAGAUGCUCAUCUUACGCAAAGAAAGAAAUAAAAGGUGAGAUGCUAAAGGAAAUUACUGCUUAUCUUGACUAAUUUUUUCUCCUAGUAUUAAUUGUGGUUGAAUUGUCAAUAUGUAGCUUCUUCCCGAGUCUAGGAAAAUCGGGAAAAUCCGUUUCACCAACCAAAAAAAAAAAAAAAUACUAUUAUAAUAGUAUUAAGUUGGGAUUACUGGUGAAGGAUGCAUAUAAGAAAUAUAGUGUUGGGUCACUGAUGUGAAACAUGAAAAAUAUACUCUCAACCGUACUUAAACAAGUAUUAGCAACAUAUAAGUUUGCUGUUUCACAGAAUCCUGGUUACGAAUUGUGCAUGGAAACCUUCUGAGGUUGCACAAUAUAUAUAUCUGUUGUUUAUUAGUAAAAGGAAGAACAUUUCUGGUUAUAAAAACAUUAAAUAGUCAGUGGUUCAGAAGUUAAUUAGUUGCAACAUGUCACUACGUGUCAUCUAUGAAUGGAUUAGAGUGGUAGAGAUUGUAACGCAAGGAAGUAGAGCUUUGACGGAGUGUGACCAGUAAACUUUAUUGUUGAUAUGUAAUAAUGAUGCUUCACUUAAAUUUUUUUAAGAGAGAAGGUACGUAUUGAUUGUUACAACCAAGAAAACUCUUCAUAGAUUAUGUCCACCUUCUUGGUCCCAAAUAAAGACCCGGGACUGUACAUUUAUUACCGAAAAAUAUCAUGAUGUUCAUAUAUCUUUACUGAUAAGCCCUCUGCGAUGCCCAUAUCUUUUAGCUUUCCGCGUCUUUUUUCAUUCAUCAACAAAAGAAAAAUGAUAGUUUUUUUCUUCAGCACGUAUACCAAAAUAUGGUGUCACAUAUUCGUAUCAUCCCAUUAUGACUUCCAAGGGUAACCAGCAAGGAUUGAUUCAUUCCAUGCACCUUUCAAACAUGGAGAACUUUUUGUCCCCGCAAAAGAAAUGAGUAUUCUCCACCAAAAAAGGGUUGAGAACUUUUUGAACUAGAUGGAAAUAAAGCCAGUGUCUGGUGUAUGGGUACAUGUGUAGAAUAAGCAAGCAACAGUCACUUGUAACACUGUGUAGGUUGAGUUCAAUUGACAGAAGUUGCCAAUCACUCAUUUCUGUGCACUCGUUUCGACUGACUGAAAGACUUAUUACAAUCAUAAAUGACCGUAUUUAUUAAUCUAAUAUAUCAAAUCUACUUCAUAAAUGAAGUACAUACACAAAAACUCUCCCUCCCUCCCUCUCUUUCUCAUGUCUUGGUUUAGAAACUAGUUCUCCUGUAAAAUAUAUGUUAACAUGCUAAUUCUCUCUCCAGUUUUAUUCGACGACUCUCAAAAUAGGGAGGUCAUGGCUCUGCAGUAAAGCAUGGAAUACUUAUCCUUCUCUAACCCAAAUCAUCCUUUCGUUCAGGAGAGUUCAAAGUCAACCUUUUUGAAAACUAAGGCAGCUUCUCUCCUCAAAAAUGGUUUUAAUUGUUGUGUCGCAUAGAAGGGGUGAUAGAAGCCAAGAGAAGCACUGGAAUACUCCAGACUGGUCGGAGUUUAAUGGUAUCCAAUGAAGCUCUUCUUUGUGGGAAAAAAAAAAUAGUUAUCUGAUGAAAUGAAGCUCAGUUAGGGUUCAUGGAGUCACGGUCCACAACUAUACAGUGAGAUCUCCUAACGUAGCUAAUUUUUUUUUUUUUUUUGAGUACAACAACUGGUCACACUACUCUCGCAUGAGCAUAGUCAACAACAUCACUAUCAAGCAUUACGUAGCAACUUUCAAUAAACAAGAACCCAUAGAGUUGGGGACGCCUAUAAUCGAACAUUUGUGGGGUCUUCAGCUGUCCGGCCAGUUAAUUAAUUAGCUUAAGUGGUUAGUUGCCAACAAGUUUGUGUUAGCUAGCUGCCAGUGUGGUCCUCUCUCUCUCUCUNNNNNNNNNNNNNNNNNNNNNNNNNNNNNNNNNNNNNNNNNNNNNNNUCGUCGUCUCCUCCUCCUCUCUCUCUCUCUCUCUCUCUCUCUCUCUCUCUCUCUCAUUCUCUCGCUCUCGCUCUCGCUCUCUCUCAACUUUUCAAUACUUCUGCCUUUGUUUUGUUACAUUCUUCUUACUUUUCUCUGGUGAAGAAACUUUUUAUUCUUUAAGCAGCAUAGCUACCAUGUAAGGGGGCUUGGACUCGUAUUAAAAAUUGACUUUGGACGAUUCGUUACGUGUACCAUGCGCACAUGCAUGCAAAGAUCUACCAAUGACCCAGUCGUUCCCCACUGCCAACUACCACCAGCUGCUUGAGCUAAACCUAACUGGCAGAUAAGGUGGUAGCUGCACUUAUGGAGUCAUCAAAGGAUAGGAAACGAGGAGUAGUGUUUCAUUUAGUGGGAGACUUUGUUGUGGGGCUUGAUUAGGAUACUUGAGGAAAUGUGAUAACUAGUACCACCAGUAAACUAUUCUAGCCUGGUCAUAUUUUGGUUGAUACUUCAUUAAUAAGGUUGCAAAACUUGGUAAAACGCAUUUACUCUUUUCAGCUAAUAUCAUUUCCUCAUUUUAACUUUAUAAUUAAGCACUUUUUUAUUCUUUUAACUCUCUUCUAGUAACUUAAAGUAGCUGUUGGGUAGUCUUGCCAUUUGAAAUAUCUUAGUGUUUAAACAAAAGAUAAUCAUAAUUUCUAUAACAGUGAUUAUGUAUGGGCUAGUUGUACCAGAAAUUUUAGCUUGCUUGAAGUUAGGAAGCAUCAAAAAUUAAAUAUCUUCAUUAUUACCUAAUUACGUUUAGACUACUAUUAGGUACAUAUUUAUGUCUCCUUCACAUUUUUUAUAAGAUUUUCAUUUCUAAUAUCUUUUGAUGGAGACUAUCGAUUGUGUUACUGAUUGAAAAAAGUUAUGGUAUUUGUUCUGUAGCCUUGAUGUAUUUACAUCAUGAUUUACUUAUAUUAACAGAAUAAAUGAUAUUAAAUUAGAAACUUAUAAUGGUUUGUACUACAAAUAUAGGUUAAUGACUUAUAUAAUGAACAAAAUAAAUUGGCACAUAGCAUAUAUAUAUAUAUAUAUAUCAAAUAUGUGUUAGUACUAGAAUCUGCAAUUACUCUGUAAUGGACCUAACACACACACACACACACACACACACACACAUAUAUAUAUAUAUAUAUAUAUAACAAACCUGAUUACUUCGUAAUAACCAUGCAUGUUCAAAUAUCUUUGCAGAGCCCAACUUUUUUUUUAUAAGAAAGAAUUAUUUAGUCCAACUUUAAGGUCCAUCAGACAGCGAAUAUGAGGUAUAAGCAAAGGACUGUGUAUUUGACAAGGCAUGACAUGGAUUAAAAC
rnacentral:lncRNA from 1 species